rnacentral:rRNA from 1 species
UACGUAGGUGGCAAGCGUUUGUCCGGAAUUAUUGGGCGUAAAGCGCGCGCAGGCGGUCCUUUAAGUCUGAUGUGAAAGCCCACGGCUCAACCGUGGAGGGUCAUUGGAAACUGGGGGACUUGAGUGCAGGAGAGAAGAGUGGAAUUCCACGUGUAGCGGUGAAAUGCGUAGAGAUGUGGAGGAACACCAGUGGCGAAGGCGACUCUUUGGCCUGUAACUGACGCUAAGGCGCGAAAG